AUACGGAGGGUCCGAGCGUUAAUCGGAAUUACUGGGCGUAAAGCGCGCGUAGGUGGUUCAGUCAGUCAGAUGUGAAAGCCCCGGGCUCAACCUGGGAACUGCACCUGAUACUGCUGAGCUAGAGUACGGUAGAGGGCAGUGGAAUUUCCGGCGUAGCGGUGAAAUGCGUAGAGAUCGGAAGGAACACCAGUGGCGAAGGCGACUGCCUGGACUGAUACUGACACUGAGGUGCGAAAGCGUGGGUAGCAAACAGGAUUAGAUACCCUGGUAGUCCACGCCGUAAACGAUGUCAACUAGCCGUUGGGGGACUUGAUCCUUUAGUGGCGAAGCUAACGCGAUAAGUUGACCGCCUGGGGAGUACGGCCGCAAGGUUAAAACUCAAAGGAAUUGGCGGGG
rnacentral:rRNA from 1 species